GUGCACGCAGGGAGACCUGGAGAAGGUGACGCGCAUCACAAUGGCCCCUUCUAGAACCGGCUCGUCGCCGUGCGGCUCCUGGAGACGCGCACAGCAGUUGGACUGCUCCCGAGCCAACACUGCUUGGAGUCAGGUCACACCUGUGUCCUUGGUGUCACCCUGACCGCAAGGCUACAGAAGACUGGACAGUCUUUUAUCCCAGGAGAAAAAUAUGGGAUCCUUUGGAAAGAGAGGAAGGGCAUCUCAGGAGGAGGGACAAGGAUGGAGAUGCAUCCCUCUGCCAUCCUGCCUCAAGCACUGCCGCACGCGGGAGCCGAGGCCCGAAGCAGGCAGCCAGACAGGGCAGCAGAUGUUUGCCACAGCAGAGUCAAGGGCCUGGGACGCUGUGUGGCGGCAGCAGCUGCGGCUGCAGCGGGCAGGCCAGGAGCGGGUAAGACCAUCCACCACUCGGUCUCCCCCACGCACAACCCACCCUCCCUUCUAUGCCCCGGGGGCAAAAAUGAGUAGUUGUACCCCUGUCUGCCCACUCCGGGACCGCCUCCACUUAAAAAUCCUAGAUGUUAUCCUCCCUUUUGAAGAACCCUUUCCAAACUAACCAUGUCCAUUUGUAGCCUAACUGGUAAGAAAAGCAAUUACUCUUUCAACAUCGCAACCAAAUGGCAAAUUGAGCUAGUACCGGCGGGGCUGUCUUUACCCAUCCAGAUCGGAAGUUGUUCCAGACUUUGAGAAGCUGUCAGAAUUUGGCCG